ensembl:lncRNA
CUGCACUCACCAUCCAGCAGGUGGCGGUCAUUGAACUUUGUCCUUAAAUGUAUAGGGGCAACAUGUUGUCAUUAUGCAACAUAAAAUAAUUUCAAUACUUCACUUCUUCACACUGUCUAGAUAGUGUUACGGGUCCGAAAUUGAGGACGAGAGUAAAACAAUGAUGGUCCAGAAGAGGUCAAUCAAACAAUUGAUUUUAAUGAAUACACGCAGCGUGGAGAGGUGCAAACUGCAAAGCAGUUGUACAUCUCUACCCAAAAUACACUCUAGAUUGCUUUUAUAACAUCAGGGUAUUGUAACGCCCCUUCUUGCGUUUACAAGCACAUAAUUUGCAUGUACAGAACAUUCAUGUAUUUUAAGAAUUAACUGCAACAUAGAGGUUCCUCCUUGUGGCAUACUCUUAAGAAUAUGGUGAUGAUCUAAGGCCUUUGAGGUCACCAUGGGCUGGACAUCCUUCCGUCACCUGUAACUAAGCAAACUCAAAUGCAACAAGAAGCUGAAUACAUUCAGGCCUUUGCUCAGCUACUUUUUACUGUACCCAUAUACUCAGCCUACGAGUUAUGAUACAUAUAUAUUUAACUCAAUCAUUUUAAAGUAGUUAUAACUGCACCUGUAAUAAACAUGUUAAUAUUUGAUUAGGAUAACCCCUAUAAUAUCAAUUAUAACAUAAUGCCAGCAACUUCAAUAAACACUUCGAUGAAAUGAUAAUUAAUGCAAUGAUAAGAUGAUGGUUAUGUAAAAUAAUCCCUGUAAUUCCACAAUUCCCCCUUUUGACGUCUUCCAAAGACGUCACUACACCAUUCCCAGGUCCACUACCUUCGCUCUGACCCUCUCUAGCCGCCCCCUGACUCAGCAAAUCCGACAACAACCUCAUGUCCUCUAGGUGGUCCAGCAAUAAAACACCAGCUCCCACUUGAAAACACUUCAUGCUUAAGUGGUCUCUGCUCCUUUCUGGGUCCCUCUCUAGUGGAAAUCUUCUCCUGUAAGGGAUAGAAAACAAACAACCUUUCUCUGCUACACCUUACUAACUUACUGUGUUCAUCUCAGGUUCCUGUCAUUAUUCAAAGUUGGUUCACAAUAUCAUAUCAGGCCAAAUCACAAACCCUACUGCCACGUCUACUUUGUUAAGCUCUUCAGCUAGACUCUGUACCGGUUUGCCAAUCUGUGUGUACAUGUCUCUACACUUUUAAUGUCUAAAUGCACAUCUGGAUGUAUGUGCACUUGUGUGUCUAUCUGCAUCUAUGAGUCAAUGAUUUGUCAGAUGUAAGGCGUUAAUGUGAGAAAUGUUUCCUGACUAUUAACUCCUGAUACUCGAGGAACUUUCCUGUUUGCCGAACUUCCUAGGUUUGGCCUUUUACACUUUUACUAAAGAAAUUUUAACAGAGCCCAAAGAGAUUUUUAUUUUACUCCUGUGCUUGACAGGUUAAGCGAAGUUGUUUUUUGUUUUGUUUUGAAAUUUUUCUCUUCUGUGUGUGUGUGUGUACAUAAGUAAGAAUAUGAUAAUCAACAUAAGAUCCCUGGUUUGCAAAUGAUUUUCUGCCCCGCUGCAGGGCAACAUCAUGUGGUGGUGAGUCUAUGUUGGCUAGUUUAAUGCAAAUAUGUAACAGUUGCUUCAUUACAUUGCCCACUCAGAGUUGCGCAGUUUCAAAGUAUGUGGAGAAUUCAAUACACAUUUCUUGGCUAAUUAUUUUCCCAAUAAAAGUGAAAUCAUACAUUGCAUUUGAUUUCACUUAUAUAUUAUCAUGUUCUGGGCUCUAUCCAUUAUAUUAACUUUAUUUAAUCUCAAUACUCUUUAUGUGUGUGAGCAACGCUUUUAGUCUUAUUAAACACAACCCAAGUAAAAUGCACACCAUCCCCAUGUCAGCCUAAAUCUCCGCUAAAGAGCACACUUCAAAGUUUUCUAUCUGGAUUUACGCCUUUUGGCCUCAAGCAUAUACAUAACAUGCCAAGGUUACUGUUAAUGCCCAUUAGACAAGUUUCCAUUAUCUACAACAUUUUGUUUCACCCGGCUCACCCUUACACAUUUCCUGUUCACUUAUUGCAUAUUUAUCUUUAACACCUUUUACCUCAGUAGUUGCUUUGUUUCUGCUUAGCAACUACUGAGGUAAAAGGUGUUAAAGAUAAAUAUGCAAUAAGUGAACAGGAAAUGUGUAAGGGUGAGCCGGGUGAAACAAAAUGUUGUAGAUAAUGGAAACUUGUCUAACGGGCAUUAACAGUAACCUUUGCAUGUUAUGUAUAUGCUUGAGGCCAAAAGAGGCGUAAAUCCAGAUAGAAAACUUUGAAGUGUGCUUUUUAGCGGAGAGUCAGGCUGACAUGGGGAUGGUGUGUAUUUUACUGGGGUGGUGUUUAAUAAAAUUAAAAGCGUUGCUCACACACAUAAAGAGUAUUGAGAUUGAAUAAAGUUAAUAUAAUGGAUAGAGCCCAGAACAUGAUAAUACAUAAGUGAAAUCAAAUGCAAUGUAUGAUUUCACUUUUAUUGGGAAACAAUCAGGCUAGAAAUGUGAGUAACCUAUGUUUAAACUGUGAAAACACUCUCCACAUACAUUAAAACUGUGCAACUCUGAGUGGGCAAUGUAAUGAAGCAACUGUUACAUAUUUGCAUUAAAUUAGCCAACAUAGACUCACCACCACAUGAUGUUGCCCUGCAGCGGGGGCAGAAAAUCAUUUGCAAACCAGGGAUCUUAUGUUGAUUAUCAUAUUCUUACUUAUGUACACACACACACACAC